UUUCAUAUAACAAUGAACUAGCUAAUUAAAUGAUCGCGACAGAGAUUCUCCCACUAGCAUGUGCUGCAUGAUGCAUGUUUCCACAUAUAUUCUGGUUUAUUGGUGGGUAUAUUGGCUACAUUGCACCUUUAAAGUUGUUGGUUGUAGGGCUCCAAAUCCAUACCUGAAGUGAGUUAAUUUGUUCUUGUAAGCAAUUUAGGAAUGUGCUUGUUUGUCACUGUUUGGAUGCUAGUUUUCCACAUGAAGCAUCUAACAUGGAGUAAUUAUACUGUACACGGUGAUUCUAUGUAUGGUAUCCUAGAUGGAAUGGCG
rnacentral:misc_RNA from 1 species